rnacentral:rRNA from 1 species
CCUACGGGGGGCAGCAGUGGGGAAUAUUGGACAAUGGGGGCAACCCUGAUCCAGCCAUGCCGCGUGUGUGAAGAAGGCCCUCGGGUUGUAAAGCACUUUCAGUGAGGAAGAACGCCUGGUGGUUAAUACCCAUCAGGAAAGACAUCACUCACAGAAGAAGCACCGGCUAACUCCGUGCCAGCAGCCGCGGUAAUACGGAGGGUGCGAGCGUUAAUCGGAAUUACUGGGCGUAAAGCGCGCGUAGGUGGCUUGAUAAGCCGGUUGUGAAAGCCCCGGGCUCAACCUGGGAACGGCAUCCGGAACUGUCAAGCUAGAGUGCAGGAGAGGAAGGUAGAAUUCCCGGUGUAGCAGUGAAAUGCGUAGAGAUCGGGAGGAAUACCAGUGGCGAAGGCGGCCUUCUGGACUGACACUGACACUGAGGUGCGAAAGCGUGGGUAGCAAACAGGAUUAGAUACCCCGGUAGUC